GACGAACGCUGGCGGCGUGCUUAACACAUGCAAGUCGAACGGAAAGGCCCUGCUUGCAGGGUACUCGAGUGGCGAACGGGUGAGUAACACGUGGGUGAUCUGCCCUGCACUUCGGGAUAAGCCUGGGAAACUGGGUCUAAUACCGGAUAGGAGCCAUUUUUAGUGUGAUGGUUGGAAAGUUUUUUCGGUGUAGGAUGAGCUCGCAGCCUAUCAGCUUGUUGGUGGGGUAAUGGCCUACCAAGGCGGCGACGGGUAGCCGGCCUGAGAGGGUGGACGGCCACAUUGGGACUGAGAUACGGCCCAGACUCCUACGGGAGGCAGCAGUGGGGAAUAUUGCACAAUGGGCGCAAGCCUGAUGCAGCGACGCCGCGGGGGGGAUGACGGCCUUCGGGUUGUAAACUCCUUUCGCUAGGGACGAAGCUUUUUGUGACGGUACCUAGAGAAGAAGCACCGGCUAACUACGUG
rnacentral:rRNA from 1 species